rnacentral:misc_RNA from 1 species
GUUGGAACUGGUUAGAGAGAUGGAUGGCAGUACGCCCAUGGGAAAAUCGUUUUCUAGACCUUAAUGUCAGAGAUGGAGUCAUGCCUAAUGAAAAUGAAUCAGCUGAUCCUGUAAACGGGAUGAAGAACCAGGUAAAAUUUGCUGGGAAGAAACCAGCAACUACAAAACCAGCAACUACAACUCUUUCAAAUGAUAGAGUGGGUCCAUCUCAUUCAAGCAGUAACUCAAAAUCAAAUGAAAAGGCAGCAGCAUCGCUCUCUGAUGGUUGCAGUUCUUCCCCAAAUGUGUCAGCAAG